rnacentral:rRNA from 1 species
UUCCGGUUGAUCCUGCCGGACCCCACUGCUAUCGAGAUGGGACUAAGGUAUGCUAGUCGAACGACAAGAACUAUGUCUGGAAGGGGCACACUGCUCAGUAACACGUAGCUAACCUACCCUUAGGACGUGGAUACCCCCGAGAAAUUGGGGUUAAUCCGCGAUAGAUGUAAUGUCCUGGAAUGGUAUUACGUCUAAAGGUAUUUCAUACAUGUUUGAAAUAUGCCUAAGGAUGGGGCUGCGGCCGAUCAGGCUGUUGGUGAGGUAAUGGCUCACCAAACCUUUGACCGGUACGGGCCAUGAGAGUGGUAGCCCGGAGAUGGACACUGAGACAAGGGUCCAGGCCCUAAGGGGCGCAGCAACCGCGAAACCUCCACAAUGCACUCACGUGCGAUGGGGCUAUCUCGAGUGCCACCUGAUGAAGGUGGCUUUUCCUUGGUCUUCAAAGCCUUGGGAAUAAGAGGGGGGCAAGACUGGUGUCAGCCGCCGCGGUAACACCAGCCCCUCGAGUGGUGGGGAUGAUUAUUUGGCCUAAAGCGUCCGUAGCCGGCCAUGUAAGUCUCCCGUUAAAUCCAACGUCUCAAGCGUUGGACUGCGGGAGAUACUGCACGGCUAGAGAGUGGGAGAGGUCAGCGGUAUUCUGGGGGUAGGGGCGAAAUCCUUUGAUCCCCGGAGGACCACCAGUGGCGAAGGCUGCUGACUAGAACACGUCUGACGGUCAGGGACGAAAGCUGGGGUAGCGAACCGGAUUAGAUACCCGGGUAGUCCCAGCCGUAAACGAUGCAUGCUAGGUGUUGGGUUGGCCACGCGCCACCCCAGUGCCGCAGGGAAGCCGUUAAGCAUGCCGCCUGGGAAGUACGAUCGCAAGAUUGAAACUUAAAGGAAUUGGCGGGGGAGCACCACCAGGCGUGAAGCCUGCGGUUUAAUUGGAUUCAACGCCGGG